rnacentral:rRNA from 1 species
UACGAAGGGGGCUAGCGUUGUUCGGAUUUACUGGGCGUAAAGCGCACGUAGGCGGAUUGUUAAGUCGGGGGUGAAAUCCUGGAGCUCAACUCCAGAACUGCCUUCGAUACUGGCAAUCUUGAGUCCGGAAGAGGUGAGUGGAACUCCUAGUGUAGAGGUGGAAUUCGUAGAUAUUAGGAAGAACACCAGUGGCGAAGGCGGCUCACUGGUCCGGUACUGACGCUGAGGUGCGAAAGCGUGGGGAGCAAACAGG